rnacentral:tRNA from 3 species
GCGAAGGUGGCGGGAUUGGUAGACGCGCUAGCUUCAGGUGUUAGUGUCCUUACGGACGUGGGGGUUCAAGUCCCCCCCCUCGCACCA